GCCCCCGUAGCUCAACCGGCAGAGCGACGGCCUUCUAAGCCGUAGGUUGCAGGUUCAAGUCCUGCCGGGGGUG
rnacentral:tRNA from 1 species